UGCCUUUGGGAUGUCUUUGAGGUGUUUGA
rnacentral:piRNA from 1 species